rnacentral:rRNA from 1 species
UGCCAGCAGCCGCGGUAAUACGGAGGGUGCAAGCGUUGUCCGGAUUUAUUGGGUUUAAAGGGUGCGUAGGCGGAACAGACAGUCAGUGGUGAAAUCUUGCGGCUUAACCGUAAAACUGCCAUUGACACUUCUGUUCUUGAGUACAGUUGAGGUGGUUGGAAUGCGUAGUGUAGCGGUGAAAUGCAUAGAUAUUACGCAGAACGCCAAUUGCGAAGGCAGAUCACUAAACUGUAACUGACGCUGAGGCACGAAAGCGUGGGGAGCGAACAGGAUUAGAUA